GGCGGCUGUUUCCCAGCCGGCGCGGGAAGGCUUUGGGCAGGGGACGCGCCGCCAGCAACAAUCGCCUGGGGGGAGCCGCGAGGCCACUGCCAGGCGGUGACGGCGCUGGAGAGCGGCCGGCCCCGGCAGAUCCGGACGUCGUCGCCGCGUUACCGUUAACUGCGCGCGUCCCGAGCAGAGCAGAUAGCCGCAGGGCCUCCCCGAGCGCCCUGCGCCGCUGGGAGCGAGGUCUCGGUGCGCCUGAGCUGGCCGGAGGUAGCUUUGCCCGGGAGAGCGGCUCCGUUUUGCUCAUGGCUGAGUGAAGAGGAAUGCCGCAGAAGUGGAGGAAGAAAGUAUGAAAUUAGAAGGUGUUAUGAUGAACCCUCCUGGUGUUUGGAACACAGACCAACUUCCAAUUCAGUGUUUUCAGGCAUAUCUGGAUUUUAGGGGGAUCUGAUCUCCUGACUGCCAUGAGGGAAGGUUGUUUAAAAGUAAAUGUGCCAACCUUUGAUUAAAAUGUACUAUGUUAGUCCAGUAUAUAUUUUUUAAGGAAAGCACUGUUGAGUCCUAAUGCCUGGGUCCUCUGCCUUGGUAGGUAUGCUUAUGGAAAGAAAUGUUUAUUAGAUCUGAUUGGAUAAUGUUCAAGACUAGUUACAGUUAAUAUCUAAAGCAGUUAUAGGCAUGGAGAAAUCUUAAGUUUGCCAUUCACAUCCAUUUAGCUAAUACAGUAUGGUGGUAACUGCUGCCACUUAUUGAAAGCUUUGGCUUCCUGGAAAGCGACUUCAGGCAUUAUAGAGGUAAUAAGGUCUCAAAUGUUGGUACUGACAGCAUCCUGUGGUGAGAUGCUUAUUUUAUUAAUUUUGGCAAGUUACUGAUGUAUUAAACAAUUGCUAAAGUGGUUAGCUAUCUUGAGGACAGUUUCCUAAAUAUAUCACAGGAUGGGGUUAUGGUGUAAUACAGUAUUUUUCAGAAUAAACAAGUUACACUUACUUCA
rnacentral:lncRNA from 1 species